GCCGGUAAACACGAGCUGGGUGUGACGCACACUAACUAACCACUGGUCAGCUGGUUGGAUGUCUGUAACAUAAACAGCGUAGGUGUUUGUUACUGCUCAUCAUAUGGAGACACAGACACUCCCACCUCCGUCCAGCUUACAGGUGUGCUUCACCUGCGGCAACCGUGUGUUAGCAUGGUGUGUGUGUGGGUGUGUGUGGUGCAGCAGUACACACACACAGUGUGUUGUGUAUUGGCGUCGCGGUGAUUACAGCCAUGAAACAGUCAGAGCAGAACUUUGUUCACAUUGUUUGUUGACAGUCUGCAGCUCGGCCACACAGUGCACUUACACACGUCAUUAUGCGACGGCGGAUGUUAAUGACGUAGGUCUGUGGUAGAACUACAAAGUUCAGAGGAUGGACUACAAGACGCGCAUCCGAGAUUCUAAGUGUUUUUUUUUUAUAUGCAGGCUGCAUAAACGUGGACAACCCGGUGAAAAAUAUGAUAAACAUAUUCAUUAUCAACGACAAAGAAACAUUUAAAUUUAAUAUGAUGUAAUAAAGGAAUACAUUUCACUAACUGAAAACAAAGUGUUUGUCUCAGUGAGAAUGAUCACUCACCCUCUUGAGUAUAAUGGUUAUCACAUCUGUACUGUCGCUAAAUCCUGCACAGUCUGCACUGCUGGAUAUGCCACGUGAUGUGGCCUGCCAGACGGACCCACCAAAGAGAUGCAACGUUGGCACACAGCUGUCCUUGAAGACUCUCAGAAGUCACGUCAGAAGUAGAGCCACGCAGGCAAGAGUGCCCCACACUGAAAUUGGUGUUGGCACCACAAGCGAACCACUCACAGCAUCACAGAGACCAAGUAAGAGACCUCGCUUCGAAAUGGAGGAGGGAGAAGUGGAGGAGGAGGAGGAGGAGGAGGAGGAGGAGGAGGAUGAAAGCAGCUUAUCUAUGGACAAGGAGGAAGCACUGGAUGCUACAUAUGAUCCCGCAGACUCCGUCACAUCCUCAGAGUCAGAAUCAGAUACCUCAAUGGAAGAGUCAGUUCCUGUCCACAAGACACCGACUUACAUCGUCUAUGAGAGCUGCCUGCUGGAGCUGUUUGAGACGUGCCCCGUGUGUAAGCGGCCUUCAGACGUGCAGCCAAGGACGAUAGGCACAUUCCUCAGUGUAGAGCAGAAGUGCCAACAUUGUCAGUACACUAGAAAGUGGAAUAGUCAGCCUAUGCUUGAAAACACUCCUGCUGGGAACCUCCAACUUUCAGCUGCAAUGUAUGCCACUGGUGCGUCUUUCCUUAAUGUAGAAAAGAUCUUCAGGGCAAUGCAGUUGAAGAUGUUCCAGUAUGACACCUUUCGAAGGCAUGCCCAGGCGUACAUCGAACCGGCCAUCGUGCACAAGUGGAAGACAGUGCAGGAUCAAAUGUUGGAGCAGCUAACUCAAGAGUCCAGUGUUGUCCUACGUGGUGCCAUGAGGGUGGACUUAAUAGGCUAUUCUGACAAGGUUGGCAGUUAUGCAAUGAUGGACAUGAACAGCAACACUAUUGUUGAUCUGCAGCUGGUUCAGAGCAAUGAAGUAGGUGGAGGAGACAACAUGGAGAAAGAGGGGCUGAAGCGCAGCCUCCAUCUCUUGGAGGCAUGCGGUGUGAGUCUUGACAGUGUUGUCACAGACUGUGACUCACAAGUCCAGGAAUUCCUGAGUGAGGCCAAUGUCACACACUACUGCGAUGUCCGUCACAUGGAAAAAAGACUGUCCAAAGAACUGGAGAAAGUUUCUCAGGAUGGUGAUUGCGAUGAACUGAAGAACUGGCUUCCCGCUAUAAAAAAGCACAUUUACUGGACUGCAUUGACAUCUACGUCAGGGCCAGAGAGGGUGGCUAAGUGGACCUCAAUUCUGAAUCACGUCCAAGACAUCCACACUCACAAAAGCCCUCAUUUCCCCCAGUGUGCGCACACACCACACACGUCUGGAGACCAGAGCGAAUGGUUGACAGCAGGAACUCCAGCCCUCUGCAGUCUGGAGAAAGUGUUGACUGGUGAGAAGGUACUGAAGGACGUGGAGAGGCUGAGCGUUCACAACCACAUCUCAUUGCAGGAGGUUUUUCAUAAAGUCAGUCUGCAUUUCGUGCCCAAGGACGUCAUCUUUCCUUUUGUUGGAAUGUUAUGCAGGUUCUACCUGGCAGAAACAAAUAUACAAGGAAAGUAAAGGCUAAAUUCCACCGGGUACGUGACGUUCUGUGUGCCACCAGAGCUAAUCGUGGUUGUUGUAGUCAAUCUAGUCAAUGAAGAUUAUGUGGAUGAACUGUUGGACCUCUUAUUUGAAAAGGUUUUCCCAGAUCCUGCACCAUAUGCAGAUGAGCUGCUGAAAAUCCCCGUCCCUGAGGAUGGCACUGCCAGGGAAGCAGGAAGUGUUAGCAAGCAACAUGUUGAAGGUCGAUCAAGCACUGAUGUGGACCUCUCAUAGCUUCUUUAAGCGUCUGAGAUCUCUGUCUGUAUCCACCUUUUAUAGUGCCUGUGUCCAUCUUUUUGUUUUAUGUAUAUAAAAUGGCUUCUGUGAAGCUAAAUAAAAUUUUGUAUUUUUGCC